CUGUACAGGGGGAGUAACAGUCNGAAAUGACUGCUAAUACCGCAUAAGACCACAGCACCGCAUGGUGCAGGGGUAAAAACUCCGGUGGUACAGGAUGGACCCGCGUCUGAUUAGCUGGUUGGUGAGGUAACGGCUCACCAAGGCGACGAUCAGUAGCCGGCUUGAGAGAGUGAACGGCCACAUUGGGACUGAGACACGGCCCAAACUCCUACGGGAGGCAGCAUG
rnacentral:rRNA from 1 species